GUUUUCAGGCUUCCAGAAGGAAAAAAUCAAAGCUGAAGUCACUUCCAUAUUUCUUCCUUUCUGCAGCAAUGCCCAGUUGUAGAAGCAAAGAGAAGUAAGCAGCACAAAAGUUGACCAGAUCCACACAGCCUAAAACUAUAAUAGCUUAUUCCCAAUCUAGAUAAGGCUGCUUCUUAAAAGAUCCCACCUACAUGUUCGCAGACUCCUGGCUCCAGGAGUAAAUAUCUCUGGAAAAUCUACAUGUCAUGUUUAAGUUCCUUUCCCAAUCUUUGCAGAUAAUCAGAGAGUCACUAGCUGUCAACUAGAAAGCUUGGUGUCUCUCUUCCUGUCUUUCCCACUUUCACCUGGGUACGGAAUAGGAGAGAAGAAAUGUACUGCACAGUCCACUGUAGCCCCUCAUUCAUAUACUCAGAGUCACUCUUCUGGCUGUGGCGAGGACAUCCUGUGACAUGAUGCCUAGAGAGUCUGGAAGAAUGUUCUCCAGAACUUUUCUAGCCCUAUCCAACAGAAUUCUUGGGUGGGAACUUGGAGG
rnacentral:lncRNA from 1 species